AAUAUCCAGAAUUUAUAAGGACCUUAAACAAAUUAUUGCAAGUUAGAAAAUCUAAGUUCUAACCUUGGCUAAGAGGAGUGGCUGUGUGGCUUAACCUUCGAGGCUCAAUUUUCUUCAUCUGUGAUGGGAAGGAAUUCAGACCACAUACUCUUUAGGGCCUCUUCUAGAUUUAAUAGUCCUUUUAUGGUUGCAUAGUAUUGCUUGGUGUAUAUGUGCCACAGUUUUUUUUAUCCAGUCUAUCAUUGAUGGGCUUUUAUUUCUCUGCCAUUUAUUUAUUUAUUAAUCUUUUACCUGUGCUGUUGCUCUAGCUGUCUUGUACUUCCAACCUCUUUUCUCUCUGAUUUACCUUCCAUGUUGCUAUUGAAACGAUAUACAGUGGAUUAAUUCAUGUGAUUCUUAUGCUUAAAAUACUUUCCUGCCUUCAACAUGUCUACAGGAGUGAAGCUCAUUCUACAUGAUCCCCAUUUCACAGGAAAAAAUCCUGAAACAGGAAGUCUAAGUCAUAUGCCCAGCUGAUACUUACUGGGUCCAGAAUUCAAAUCAGGGAGAGUCUGGCUCCAGAGCCCAUGCUAUUGACCCCGAAAUAGCACCUCACAAUGCAAAGAAAGGACAGAUUCUUAGAAGU
rnacentral:lncRNA from 10 species